UGUCAGACUUGUUACAAAGUUGUUCCAACAAGUCCGAUACAGUCAUAUAACAAUAUUGUUACAACCUUGUUUCGUCAACCUUGUAACAUUCCUGUUAUAUCAUGGCUGCAUCAGACUUGUUAGAACAACCUUGUAACAAGUCUGAUA
rnacentral:miRNA from 1 species